rnacentral:rRNA from 1 species
UGGGGAAUUUUGGACAAUGGGGGAAACCCUGAUCCAGCCAUCCCGCGUGUGCGAUGAAGGCCUUCGGGUUGUAAAGCACUUUUGGCAGGAAAGAAACGUCGCGGGUUAAUACCCCGCGAAACUGACGGUACCUGCAGAAUAAGCACCGGCUAACUACGUGCCAGCAGCCGCGGUAAUACGUAGGGUGCAAGCGUUAAUCGGAAUUACUGGGCGUAAAGCGUGCGCAGGCGGUUCGGAAAGAAAGAUGUGAAAUCCCAGAGCUUAACUUUGGAACUGCAUUUUUAACUACCGGGCUAGAGUGUGUCAGAGGGAGGUGGAAUUCCGCGUGUAGCAGUGAAAUGCGUAGAUAUGUGGAGGAACACCGAUGGCGAAGGCAGCCUCCUGGGAUAACACUGACGCUCAUGCACGAAAGCGUGGGGAGCAAACAGGAUUAGAUACCCUGGUAGUCCACGCCCUAAACGAUGUCAACUAGCUGUUGGGGCCUUCGGGCCUUGGUAGCGCAGCUAACGCGUGAAGUUGACCGCCUGGGGAGUACGGUCGCAAGAUUAAAACUCAAAUGAAUUGAC